AAGCUCGAUUGGAUUUCGGAAGGUCCUUAGCAGUCCGCCCCUUCGGGGAGCGGGUUGCUGGCCUCCUAUGUUCCUAACGGUCCUCACCCGCGAGGGUGGGGAAUCAACCGCUAGGAUCGUUUACUUUGAGGAAAUUAGAGUGUUCAAAGCAGGCGUAACUCGCCUCCGAAUACGUUAGCAUGGGAUAAUGGAAUACGACUUCGGUCUUGUUUCGUUGGUUUCGCUUGGCUGAAGUAAUGAUUGAUAGGGACAGUUGGGGGCAUUAGUAUUUAGUUGUCAGAGGUGAAAUUCUAGGAUUUACUAAAGACUGACCAAUGCGAAAGCAUUUGCCAAGGAUGUUUUCAUUAAUCAAGAACGAAAGUAGGGGGAUCGAAGACGAUCAGAUACCGUCGUAGUCUCUACCGUAAACUAUGCCGACCAGGGAUCCGGAGAGUUUGCAUGGAUGACUCCCCGGGCACCUUGUGAGAAAUCAUAAGUGUUUGGGUUUUGGGGGGAGUAUGGUCGCAAGGCUGAAACUUAAAGGAAUUGACGGAAGGGCACCACCAGGAGUGGAACCUGCGGCUUAAUUUGACUCAACACGGGGAAACUUACGAGGUCAGGACACUGUGAGGAUUGACAGAUUGAAAGCUCUUUCUUGAUUCAGUGGGUGG
rnacentral:rRNA from 1 species